AUUGAACGCUGGCGGCAGGCCUAACACAUGCAAGUCGAGCGGUUGACGGGAGCUUGCUCCCUGAUUCAGCGGCGGACGGGUGAGUAAUGCCUAGGAAUCUGCCUAUUAGUGGGGGACAACGUUUCGAAAGGAACGCUAAUACCGCAUACGUCCUACGGGAGAAAGCAGGGGGCCUUCGGGCCUUGCGCUAAUAGAUGAGCCUAGGUCGGAUUAGCUAGUUGGUGAGGUAAUGGCUCACCAAGGCGACGAUCCGUAACUGGUCUGAGAGGAUGAUCAGUCACACUGGAACUGAGACACGGUCCAGACUCCUACGGGAGGCAGCAGUGGGGAAUAUUGGACAAUGGGCGAAAGCCUGAUCCAGCCAUGCCGCGUGUGCGAAGAAGGUCUUCGGAUUGUAAAGCACUUUAAGUUGAGAGGAAGGGUUGUAGAUUAAUACUCUGCAAUUUUGACGUUACCGACAGAAUAAGCACCGGCUAACUCUGUGCCAGCCGCCGCCGUAAGAC
rnacentral:rRNA from 1 species